CGCGGCCGCUGCCUAGAAGUGGGGAACUCUCUUUACCUUGUUUACCUCAGUUUCCUCAUCUGUAAAAGGAGCUGGAGAAGGAAGUGCAAGUGUUGAGGAAACUGAAGCCAACAGAAGCUAAACGACUUGCCCACUAUCACACGGCUAUUAAGAAACUGAGGUAACAUCUGAACUGGCAUCUUCCUGAUCCAAGGCCCAGCAUUCCACCCAUGGCCUCACAAGCUCUGGAGCCUCUCACUGCCCACCUGGCAUCAGAGAAGGGUUAUUUUUACCUUCUGAAUCCGAUUCUCCCUGUGCAACAAGAGAUCUGUUCGGUUCUGCACACAUAUAUUGUAUCUAGGAUACACUGUAACCUAUUCAACAUGUAAAGGACUGCUUGCCAUCUGGGGGAGCGGGGAGAGGGAAGAAGGGGAAAAAUCGGAACAGAAGUGAGUGCAAGGGAUAAUGCUGUAAAAAAUUACCCAGGCAUGAGUUCUGUCAAUAUAAAGUUAUUAUAAAAUUUUAAAAAAAUGAGAAGAAAAAAAAAAGAAAUAAAAAAAAUAGUUUAAGGGAAUUUUAUCCCUAAAAUUCAAUUAUUCACUUGACAAAAAUAAAAAAUGAUGGGAUAGUCAAUGUGGGAAGGGCUACUGCUGGGCCUAUGAAUUGUCCAACUAGUCUGGAAAACAAUUUGGAAUAAUGCAAGAAAAGUGAAGGAACUGUGCGGUCACUGACUCCGCCUUCCCAUUCUUGGCCACAUCCCCUAGCCUGCCUGAGACAGAGUGUCCUGAUGUAGAUCAAAACCCUCCCAGCAAUCAUUUCUGUGGGAGGAAAAACCUAGAAAGAAAGCUGUCCAUGAAGUGGGGAGUAGCUGGAGAAAGUGUGGUACAAGCAUGUCAUGGAACAGAAUCCGUGAUGCUUUGAAAAAAGGAGGAUAAAAGGGGAAUGCACAGAACUCAGAGAAGCAGGGAAGGCCCUGGAGGAGGGAUCCAGAGCAGGGUAGUGGGCGAGCAGACUGUGGUGACGGGCCGAGGGCAGCGCAGGCCCCACCCUCCUCCGGU